AUUGAACGCUGGCGGCAUGCCUUACACAUGCAAGUCGAACGGCAGCACGGGAGCAAUCCUGGUGGCGAGUGGCGAACGGGUGAGUAAUAUAUCGGAACGUGCCCGGUCGUGGGGAUAACGUAGCGAAAGCUACGCUAAUACCGCAUACGAUCUACGGAUGAAAGCGGGGGAUCGCAAGACCUCGCGCGAUUGGAGCGGCCGAUAUCAGAUUAGGUAGUUGGUGAGGUAAAGGCUCACCAAGCCGACGAUCUGUAGCUGGUCUGAGAGGACGACCAGCCACACUGGGACUGAGACACGGCCCAGACUCCUACGGGAGGCAGCAGUGGGAAUUUUGGACAAUGGGCGCAAGCCUGAUCCAGCAAUGCCGCGUGCAGGAUGAAGGCCUCGGGUU
rnacentral:rRNA from 1 species